GACGAACGCUGGCGGCGUGCUUAACACAUGCAAGUCGAACGGAAAGGCCCUGCUUUUGUGGGGUGCUCGAGUGGCGAACGGGUGAGUAACACGUGAGUAACCUGCCCUUGACUUUGGGAUAACUUCAGGAAACUGGGGCUAAUACCGGAUAGGAGCUCUUGCUGCAUGGUGGGGGUUGGAAAGUUUCGGCGGUUGGGGGUGGACUCGCGGCUUAUUGGCUUGUUGGUGGGGUAGUGGCUUCCCAAGGCUUUGACCGGUGGCCGGGCUGGGCGGGUGACCGGCCACGUUGGGACUGAGAUAAGGCCCAGACUCCUCCGGGAGGCGACAGUGGGGAAUAUUACACUAUGGGCGGAAGCCUAAUGCAGCAACGCCGCGUGCGGGAUGACGGCCUUCGGGUUGUAAACCACUUUCGCCUGUGACGAAGCGUGAGUGACGGUAAUGGGUAAAGAAGCACCGGCUAACUACGUG
rnacentral:rRNA from 1 species